UCCUCUUGAGAUACUAGCCUGGGAAAUCUAGGCUCCAUGCUUGUGACAAAGCCAAUGGAAAGGUCAUGUGUAACUAUUCCAGGCACAUUCCUAGCUGAGGUCCCAACCAACAGCCAGCAUGAACCACUAGACACUUGCACAUGUGAGCCUUCAUAUGAUGCAGUCCUCAGGCUUGGAGCCAGUCCAGGUAAUGGAGCAGAGACUGGAGCAGAGACAAGUUGUUCCCACUGAGCUCUCCUCAGAUUACAGAUCGCAGAUUGGUCUGAUUAUAAAAGGAGAAUUGGAGGCUUACCAAACAUCUGAAGAGCUUUCCAGAAGUUUGGUCACUUCUGAAUUAGAGAAGUUAAGACCCAAUCACCUACUAAUGCUGUGGGAAAGUUCUGCAGGUGAUACAUCACAGGGGCUCAUGAAUGUGUCUUAAGCUGGCUCAUUGAAGUGGAAUGUUUACACAAGACCUCCUCUACUUGCUACUGUGUCCGGAAUUGGUGGGUUCUUGGUCUCACUGACUUCAAGAAUGAAGCCGCGGACCCUCGCGGGAGUGGCAAAUCAAAGGCAUUGCAGCCUCUUUCAUCACUGCCGAUUGCUGAUGCCAACCAUGUGCCAAGUGCUUAAUACGUCACCUUAAAUCUUCUCAUCCACCCUCAGAGUAGCUGCAGCAUCAACCCAGUGCCCUGACUUUCAAGACGACUAUGAAAACACCCCAACUGCUGCUAAAUUACCAGCAACAAGGAUCUGACAUUCUUACUAAAAAGAAAGAACACCGAAAUUGACCUUACCCUGACAAUAUGAUGGCUGAAGGAUUUAUGAUCACUUAUAACAUUUGAAAUUGAGGCGGAACCUGAAGAAUAUGACUCUGGUGAAACGUCCUAUUUAUGCUUUUGAUGUCUUUCACUUGGACAUUUACCACAUGCCUAUUGGUAGGUUUGUUACAUAGGUCAGUUAAGGUGAUACAAGAAUAAAUAAAACACUAUCCCUAUCCUUUAAUAUCAUUUAUUUGUGGGGUCAAUCACAGAUUUUCAUUUUUCAAAAUCUUUGAUAAAUGUCAGAAUUAUGUUUUUUAAUAUUUUUACAGAAUUAUUACAAUAUAUGAUAGAGGAUGAAAGGCAAGGUAGUAUGAAAUGGAAAAGAUAUUUUGAAUUAAGAUAUUUGGACCUGGAUUCAUAUUUUUGCUUUGGUCUUUAUUAGCUGAGUGACCUUGGGAAAGUUCUUCUACUAAAAAAGAACAAAGAUAAUAAUUACUUCAUGAAAUUGCUGUAAAAACACAUAACAAGUAUAUCCAGACUCAACAGUGUAUGCUCAAAAAUGCAGAUCCUUUUUCCCUUACCUGCAAAUAAAGUCUUACAUUAAUACAGUGGGGGUAAAGGUUUAAACUGGUGGAUUCAAGAAGGGUUAUAGAAAGAGGUAGCAUUUUAAUAGGGGAAGGAGUGGAUCCAAGAAAUCAGAUCCAUUUUCUACAAAAAGAAAUGAGAAGACAGAUAAUUCAAGAAGAAAAGUUUACAUGAUUAAAGACCCAAAGUUAGAAAUAGUGAUGUGUCUCAAUAGUAAGUUAGGAAUUGGGGUGGACACAGUUGUUGGAAGAAGGAUGGUUUCAGCAAAGACCCGAGUUAGGUGACAAUUUCAAGUGUUUGUGAAGAUAUAUGAACAAAAUUAUAAAGUAGUUAGGGUAUAAGAAAUAGGGAGGAGGGAAUGAAUUAACAUUUAUGGAGUGUCUUGCAUGUUCCAAGCACUGUACUACUUGCCUUAUAAACCUUUUUUCAAUAAACGCCUACAACAA